AUUGAACGCUGGCGGCAGGCCUAACACAUGCAAGUCGAGCGGAUGAAGGGAGCUUGCUCCUGGAUUCAGCGGCGGACGGGUGAGUAAUGCCUAGGAAUCUGCCUGGUAGUGGGGGACAACGUCCGGAAACGGGCGCUAAUCCCGCAUACGUCCUGAGGGAGAAAGUGGGGGAUCUUCGGACCUCACGCUUUAUGAUGAGCCUAGGUCGGAUUAGCUAGUUGGUGGGGUAAAGGCCUACCAAGGCGACGAUCCGUAACUGGUCUGAGAGGAUGAUCAGUCACCCUGGAACUGAGACACGGUCCAGACUCCUACGGGAGGCGGCAGUGGGGAAUAUUGGACAAUGGGCGAAAGCCUGAUCCAGCCAUGCCGCGUGUGUGAAGAAGGUCUUCGGAUUGUAAAGCACUUUAAGUUGGGAGGAAGGGCAGUAAGUUAAUACCUUGCUGUUUUGACGUUACCAACAGAAUAAGCACCGGCUAACUUCGUG
rnacentral:rRNA from 1 species